GACGAACGCUGGCGGCGUGCCUAAUACAUGCAAGUCGAGCGCUGAAGGUUGGUACUUGUACCAACUGGAUGAGCAGCGAACGGGUGAGUAACGCGUGGGGAAUCUGCCUUUGAGCGGGGGACAACAUUUGGAAACGAAUGCUAAUUCCGCAUAAAAACUUUAAACACAAGGUUUAAGUUUGAAAGAUGCAAUUGCAUCACUCAAAGAUGAUCCCGCGUUGUAUUAGCUAGUUGGUGAGGUAAAGGCUCUCCAAGGCGAUGAUACAUAGCCGAACUGAGAGGGUGGUCGGCCACCUUGGGACUGUGACACGGCCCAAACUCCUUCGGGAGGCAGCCGUAGGGAAUCUUCGGGCAUGGGCGAAAGUCUUACCGAGCAACGCCGCGUGAGGGAAGAAGGUUUUCGGGUCGUGAAACUCUGUUGGUAGGGAAGAACGUUGGUGAGAGUGGAAAGCUCAUCAAGUGACGGUAACUACCCAGAAAGCGACGGCUAACUACGUG
rnacentral:rRNA from 1 species